GAAAAAGGACUCUUCAUAUGGUUUGGUUAUGACUGUUUUCUAAAAGUGCGCAGGAAGUAAAAGAGUUGUAAGUUAAUAUAACGUCUUAGAGGACAUCAGAUAUAUCGUAGUGACUUAUCAAAACAGAGUAGACACAAGACCCUUCCUUUAUUAGGACAUAGUUUUAUUUGAACAUAGGUGAGAAACAGGUUUCUUCGCUCAAUGGUUGUGUACUGAUGAAAGGAAAAAUGUUCAUGAAAACAAAUUCACAAAACAUUAAUAUCCUAUUUUCUAAUAAUAUACACAGCAUUCACAUUAGAGCAUAUAUAAUUCUCCUAAUCUGUUUCUCUUUAAUGCAUCAUUGAAUUAUUUAUCUUUUCUUCCCCAGUCUUAUUCAGUUUCCUAUUUCUGUGAGAGAAGCCCAUGACUAUAGCAACUCUUAUGUAAAGAAAACACUCGAUUAGGCUUGCUUACAGUUUCAGAUAUUUAGUCCAUUGUGUUCAUGGUAGGGAACAUGACAGCAAGCAGGCUGAUAAGUUAUUGGAGAAGUAGCUGGGAGUUCUACAUCCUGAUCUGGAAGCAGUAGGAAGAGAAAGAUUCUGGAUCUUUUGAAACCUCAGAGACCAGCCCCAGUUACAUACUUCCUCCAACAAGGCAACACUUCCUGAUUCUUUCAAAUAGUGGUACUCACUGGUGACCAAACAUUCAAAUCUAUAAGCCCAGGGGGUUAUUCUUAUUCAAAUCACCAUGUCUCCUGAAUUCUCAGAGCUCAGACAGGGCUUCUUCAUAAACUAAUGCAUUAACAGGGUGAUUACCUCCCACAUUUUCUAAGAAAUCAUGACUAACCAAGAUGAAGAGGGAGGUACUAUUUUAUGUUCCUGUGAAAUUCAAUUGGUUCUCUAUGCAGACCUAGAAUACACACUCUUAAUUUGACAUCUUGUUUUGACAUUAAGGAAAUGAAUCUUAAUUCAUCAUAAUGUUAAAAUUGAAAGUAGAAAUGGCGAGAUGACUCAGCAGAUAAAAGCAUUUCUUAAGCUUGCUUGACUCUGAUCCCUGAAACCCCCAGGAUAUGCUUUUAGUAUUCAGUAGCAAGAAUAUGUUUAUAGUGCUGAAGACAUUGAAUAUGGCCCUGCCAGCCCAUGAUAUACAAACAUAAGCCUUAAAUAUAUUGACAACCAGUGACAAGGCAUGCAGUGCUCCAUGAGUGGCAGCAUAAUACACCCUCAUAGUGCCUGAGCUACAGUCAUUUGUACUAAAGCAGCUAAGAGUGUUUCAUUUCACAUCUGACUCUGUGCUUGUACACAGAGAUUCUUUUCUGUCUCAGAGGGGAGCUUCCUAGUUAUCACCAAGAUUCUUUAUUCAUUGUGAUAAUUCGUUUCACAGAAAGCAGAUUAAAAUUUCAGGAGUUCCUUUAAAAUACAAAUGGAAGCCUCUAUGGCCCAGGGAUUUCUUCUGAAAUGUAAACAGUCUUUUGGGCAUAAAGAGCUGUGAGCAAUAUCUGGAUUAAGUUCAUCAAUAUGGUGAGGAAGACAAAAUACAAUCUGCCUCGGUAUUUAGAUUUCUGUACUGAAGAGCUCAGAGUCCUGGAUUUAAGGAACCAGUGCUUUCAGACACACUGGUUCUGUAGGGUACUGAGUUCUCAGUACUGUAGGGUACUGAGUUCUUAGUACUGUAGAGUACUGAGUUCUCAGUACUGUAGGGUACUGAGUUCUCAGUACUGUAGGGUACUGAGUUCUCAGUACUGUAGGGUACUGAGGUGGUUUGAAUGAACAUGUCCUCCAUAGACUUUUGUAUUUGAAUUGUUGGUUCUCAGUUACUGGUGCUGCUUGGGGAGGUUUAGGUGGUGCAGCUUUGCUUGAAGAAAUAUGUAAUGUCAGGCUUUGAGAUGAAAUGCGCAGAAAUGCAAAUAUUCUGAUUAUUAGAACAGAGAGUG
rnacentral:lncRNA from 1 species